CCUACGGGCGGCAGCAGUGAGGAAUAUUGGUCAAUGGGCGCGAGACUGAACCAGCCAAGUAGCGUGAAGGAUGAAUGUCCUACGGGUUGUAAACUUCUUUUAUAAAGGAAUAAAGUGAGGCACGUGUGCCUUUUUGUAUGUACUUUAUGAAUAAGGAUCGGCUAACUCCGUGCCAGCAGCCGCGGUAAUACGGAGGAUCCGAGCGUUAUCCGGAUUUAUUGGGUUUAAAGGGGGCGUAGAUGGGUUGUUAAGUCAGUUGUGAAAGUUUGCGGCUCAACCGUAAAAUUGCAAUUGAUACUGGCAGUCUUGAGUACAGUUGAGGUAGGCGGAAUUCGUGGUGUAGCGGUGAAAUGCUUAGAUAUCACGAAGAACUCCGAUUGCGAAGGCAGCUUACUAACCUGCCACUGACAUUGAUGCUCGAAAGUGUGGGUAUCAAACAGGAUUAGAUACCCCUGUAGUC
rnacentral:rRNA from 1 species